rnacentral:lncRNA from 1 species
AUGGAGCCUAUUGCAACCAUCCAGCAUUUAGAUGUCCAUCCAGGAUAUAUGGCAGACUUCAUCAUUUCCGGGGAAUUUGGAGAGGCAGAGGAAAGGUGGGGAACUUCGCUGGUAAGUGAGCCAACUGAACAACCCCUCAGACCAGACAGAGCUAAGCUGGGUGGAGGUUUGAUGAGAACUAGGUUAAAAUCUGUUUUAAUAAAGAAAAAGAGAAGAAAUGGUGGAUAGACAUUCUCACACAGCCCCAGUAGCUGACAGGGACCGUGCCAACCAGAUCGCCUACAUAAAGGCAAAGACCAGAGGAGGGGCACCAAUGCUCACCAGAAAGUUCAGCAAAGAUAUUAAGAGAGAAUGGGUAGAGGACAAACAAUAAGAAGAAGACCCAGAAAAAGGUGUUCUUUCCACUUAUGUUUAAGGGGUGGGCAUUCACUGUGCCAGUACCAGUCAAAUUACGUAUGUAUCAAUUCAUAUCGAUUCUGUAAGUAAGUUGCAAAUGAAUAAAGAAUGAAAAAAAAAAUUCCUGGGCAGUUAUGAGUACCUUUGGCCAUUUAGAUAAUUUUAAUUUUGUAUGAUUUUAAAUUUUCACUUAGACAAAUAUUUGCGGUCUUAGGAGAAUCAAAUUAGAAAACUCCUGUGUUUAACCCAUGUCAAACCUGAUCUUUAUGGUACUGGCUUAGCCCAGUUGAGAACACUUAAUUAAUAAGAUUGCUAUUUGGUGUCCUCAGUGCAAAUAUCACUUGGAAGUAUCGUUGUGGAAGUAUUUCACCACAACCUGGGGUGAAUCUGCUGUUAAGUAUCAAGG